ensembl:snRNA U2 U2 spliceosomal RNA
AUCACGUCUAAAUCUCUGGGCUAAGAACAAGGGUAGUGUCUGUUCUUAUCAGCUAUGUGAAACCUCCUCUAUCCAAAGACAAUAUAUUGGAUGGAUUUUUGGAGCAGGAAGAUGGAAUAUGAGCUUGCUCUGUCCACUCCAUGCUUCAGCCUUGUAUUACAGUACCUCCAAGGAUGGUGCACCUCCU